AACGAACGCUGGCGGCGUGCCUAACACAUGCAAGUCGAGCGCGAAUGGAGCAAUCCUAGUAGCGCGGCGAACGGGUGCGUGACACGUGGGUAAUCUGCCUAGAAGACUGGAAUAACCUGCCGAAAGGCUGGCUAAUACCGGAUAAGACCACAGAGUCUUCGGACUCCGAGGGAAAAUGGUGGCCUCUGUAUACAAGCUAUCACUUCUAGAUGAGCCCGCGGCCCAUCAGCUAGUUGGCGGGGUAAUGGCCCACCAAGGCAACGACGGGUAGCUGGUCUGAGAGGACGAUCAGCCACACUGGAACUGAGACACGGUCCAGACUCCUACGGGAGGCAGCAGUGGGGAAUUUUGCACAAUGGGCGAAAGCCUGAUGCAGCAACGCCGCGUGUGUGAUGAAGGUCUUCGGAUUGUAAAGCACUUUCGACCGGGACGAACACCUGUUGGCCAACAUCCAACAGCCUGACGGUACCGGGAGAAGAAGCACCGGCUAACUCUGUGCCAGCCGCCGCAGUAACAC
rnacentral:rRNA from 1 species